rnacentral:sRNA from 1 species
AGAAGAGGAAGAUGAUGAUCCUGAUGUUUAUUACUUUGAAUCAGAUCAUGUGGCACUGAAACACAACAAAGAUUAUCAGAGACUAUUACAGACGAUUGCUGUACUCGAGGCUCAGCGUUCUCAAGCAGUCCAAGACCUUGAAAGUUUAGGCAGGCACCAGAGAGAAGCACUGAAAAAUCCCAUUGGAUUUGUGGAAAAACUCCAGAAGAAGGCUGAUAUUGGGCUUCCAUAUCCACAGAGAGUUGUUCAAUUGCCUGAGAUCGUAUGGGACCAAUAUACCCAUAGCCUUGGGAAUUUUGAAAGAGAAUUUAAAAAUCGUAAAAGACAUACUAGAAGAGUUAAGCUAGUUUUUGAUAAAGGUUUACCUGCUAGACCAAAAAGUCCUUUAGAUCCUAAGAAGGAUGGAGAGUCCCUUUCAUAUUCUAUGUUGCCUUUGAGUGAUGGUCCAGAAGGCUCAAGCAGUCGUCCUCAGAUGAUAAGAGGACGCUUGUGUGAUGAUACCAAACCUGAAACAUUUAACCAAUUGUGGACUGUUGAAGAACAGAAAAAGCUGGAACAGCUACUCAUCAAAUACCCUCCUGAAGAAGUAGAAUCUCGACGCUGGCAGAAGAUAGCAGAUGAAUUGGGCAACAGGACAGCAAAACAGGUUGCCAGCCGAGUACAGAAGUAUUUCAUAAAGCUAACUAAAGCUGGCAUUCCAGUACCAGGCAGAACACCAAACUUAUAUAUAUACUCCAAAAAGUCUUCAACAAGCAGACGACAGCACCCUCUUAAUAAGCAUCUCUUUAAGCCUUCCACUUUCAUGACUUCACAUGAACCGCCAGUGUAUAUGGAUGAAGAUGAUGACCGAUCUUGUUUUCAUAGCCACAUGAACACUGCUGUUGAAGAUGCAUCAGAUGACGAAAGUAUUCCUAUCAUGUAUAGGAAUUUACCUGAAUAUAAAGAACUAUUACAGUUUAAAAAGUUAAAGAAGCAGAAACUUCAGCAAAUGCAAGCUGAAAGUGGAUUUGUGCAACAUGUGGGCUUUAAGUGUGAUAACUGUGGCAUAGAACCCAUCCAGGGUGUUCGGUGGCAUUGCCAGGAUUGUCCUCCAGAAAUGUCUUUGGAUUUCUGUGAUUCUUGUUCAGACUGUCUACAUGAAACAGAUAUUCACAAGGAAGAUCACCAAUUAGAACCUAUUUAUAGGUCAGAGACAUUCUUAGACAGAGACUACUGUGUGUCUCAGGGCACCAGUUACAAUUACCUUGACCCAAACUACUUUCCAGCAAACAGAUGACAUGGAAGAGAACAUCAUUUACUAGUCCUCUUCAACACAUAGCAAUGGUAUCAUUGUUAAUUAUGUGCACAGUUUGGAAAGAUUCUCUGCUUUCCCAGAAAUGACACUCACAGCAUGAGAGCUUCCUGAGUGUUCUCGUCAAGUACAGCUCUGCACCGUUGUGGCUCUAGAUCACUGUUCAGCAGCUGAACAUUCCUGGUGAGCAAAGGUUUCCCUGGUGAAUUUUUCACCACUGCGUUUUAGGUGGUGAUCUUAAAUGGGUGAGAUGGAAUGAGAGCACACAUUAAAGAGAGAGUAAAUUCCAAAGGUUUCAAAGAACUUGGUCAUAAAUAUGAUAAUGAGAAGACAAAGUAUUUAUAUUAAAACAGUUUAGUAGCCUUCAGUUUUGUGAAAAUAGUUUUCAGCACAGAAACUGACUUCUUUAGACAAAGUUUUAACCAAUGAUGGUGUUUGCUUCUAGGAUAUACACUUUAAAAGAACUCACUGUCCCAGUGGUGGUCAUUGAUGGCCUUUAGUAAAUUGGAGCUGCUUAAUCAUAUUGAUAUCUAAUUUCUUUUAACCACAAUGAAUUGUCCUUAAUUACCAACAGUGAAGCACUACAGGAGGCAACUGUGGCAUUGCUUCCUUAACCAGCUCAUGGUGUGUGAAUGUUAUAAAAUUGUCACUCAGAUAUAUUUUUUAAAUGUAAUGUUAUAUAAGAUGAUCAUGUGAUGUGUACAAACUAUGGUGAGAAGUGCCAGUGGUAGUAACUGUGUAAAGUUUCUAAUUCACAACAUUAAUUCCUUUAAAAUACACAGCCUUCUGCCUCUGUAUUUGGAGUUGUCAGUACAACUCAUCAAAGAAAACUGCCUAAUAUAAAAAUCAUAUAUAUGGUAAUAAUUUCCCUCUUUUGUAGUCUGCACAAGAUCCAUAAAAGAUUGUAUUUUUAUUACUAUUUAAACAAGUGAUUAAAUUUAGUCUGCACAGUGAGCAAGGGUUCACAUGCAUUCUUUUAUACUGCUGGAUUUUGUUGUGCAUCAUUUAAAACAUUUUGUAUGUUUCUUCUUAUCUGUGUAUACAGUAUGUUCUUGAAUGAUGUUCAUUUGUCAGGAGAACUGUGAGAAAUAAACUAUGUGGAUACUGUCUGUUUAUAUUAUAGAAUGCUUGUUGUGACUUCCUUUUGGUUAGAUUUUGGAUUUUUUUUUUACCAGUGUUAAAACCAGAAAUUGGUAUUUUUUAAAAUGGUUUGCUUCACAUAUUUAAGAGUUUACUUUCUGUCGUUUAUGAAGAAUAAGGAAUAUAUUAUGGAAUAGAGGGUGAUCUUAAGCAACCCUGUAAAAAAUGGUAAAGUUUUUUACUCAGUGUGUGCUGAAACACUAAAUUAAACUAGCUUACAAAAAGGAAACACGGACCAUGGUUAAAGAAAAAGGCAAUUAUUAAUGCUCAGGUGUGAAAACUAAAGUUGAAAAUUUUUUUUCUAGUUGUGUCUCAUGAAGAUAAGCCCCCAUGUAUUUAAACAGAUGGCUUUUGAAAAAUCACCUUGUUUCCUGGAAAUUACUGUUAACUAUAGGAAAAGAUAGUAUAAAUAUUCUAAGAUUGAUUGUUAUUUUUGACCCAAUUUUUAGAAUCACCUGUUUUUUCCUAUUUUAAAUCAAGGGAACAUUAUUUACUAGUUCUCUUCAGUACAUAGCAGGGUACCAAAAUCAUACCCUGAUUUUUUUUUUAAUUGAGAAAAGUAAUAGAAUUUUAAAUAUAGAAAUAUGAGAAUUUUAAAGUAAUAUAUUGAUUAAAGAUCACUGAUGAUAUAGAUAUAAUAUAUCAUAACGGAAGGAAAAGUAAAUGGACUUGAGCUUAACUUCUCACCCUGGAAUUAUUAGUGGGUGAAGAGGGGAAUCAUUAGCAUUCUGGGCAUUUUUAUAUUAAAUGUUUUGUGAAUAUGCCAGAAGAUCUGCCUUCAACUUGUAAUUAGGCAAGAUAGUAACGCUUGAUGGUAACUUCUAUGUUUGUGUAGAAAUAAUACCAGUUAGUUUUGGAAAGCCAUUCAGAUCCAUUCAAAAAUUCCAUAAAGUAUGAUGUAUGCUUUGGAAGAGGGAUAUGAGUGAUACAAUUGUUAUAUAAAUGGAAUAGACAAACCAUUUGAAUGCAUUUUUCAAGGGCAAACAUUUUUUUGAGAUUUUUGAGUUAAGAAGAUUUUUCGGCUUGAGCAGAAGAUGUGUUUGUUUUGCAUUUUUCAGCUCCAGGCAAAUAGCUCCCAUGGCUUUAAAAGGCCCUGAAGUUCAGAUAGUAGUAGGUAGUGUUUUGUUAUUGUUUUAAUUUGAGAGUUGCAGGAAUAAUGGGCAGAGCUGUCAUUUGCCAGUAGGCUACCAUCUGCCUACAUAGAAUUAUUGGACUGUAAGCUAAAACAGACUGUAAAAGACCUACUUGCUAAAGCAUUGCUUAUUCAGUGGUAUUCAGUAGAUAAGAUCUAUUUCCUGAUACAUUGUGCUCAAGUUAUUUGCACAUCUUAAGAAACUUUUAAUAUCUAAAACCAUUGCUGUAAGAUUUAGGUAGAGGAGGUUUCCUUUUGUGUGAUGCAUAAUAAUAGAAAACACUGAUACAGUGUUUACUAUGUGCCAAGCAAGCUAUGAUAACUAAUUCUUAACAACUCUAUGAGGCAGGGUCAUUUAUUAUCCUGUUGUCAUAUGAGGAAAUCUCGCCAGAGAGAAGUUAAUUAACCUGCCCAAGGUCGUAUAGUUAGUAAAGCGGUGAUGUUUGAAUUUUAACCUAGGCAGAUUACUUCAGAGUCAGUGUCUGCCUUACUAUCCUGUUUCCUGAGCAGGAAUUUCCCCUUGUGUCAGGCAACACUAGGUGUUAGGAGUGGAGGUGUGCAGGUGUUGCCUUACAUUCUGUUUUCCUGACGUGGUGUGCUUCCUAAGAGUAAAAACCUGAGCAUAUGUCCAGGCUUGCAAAGUCUCAGGCAAAGCUGGGACUAAGGCUUGUGUUUCCUGCCUUGGGUAGGAUUUUCUUCUAUGCAUGUUGGGUGCUUCUCACUUAACCUAAUAGUAUGCCUUGUCUGUUUUCCCCCCUUCCCCUUUUUGUUUAAAUUGAUUCACAGAACACAAAAAUUUACUAGGUAUGAACAUUUGAAAAAAUAGAGAAAAUGGUACAUCACAUGUAAUAAAGAUAAAUAUUGUUUUGUGAAAUGUCUUUUUCAAUCAUAAAUAUAAGUGUUGUGUGCUAUAUAAAACUAUUUCUUAUUGUGGA